CUCAGGGAAAGACUUUCUGACUGAGAGCGGGCGGCUCAACGCCGUCGGCAUGGAGCUGAGCACCUGCGAGGGUCAACUGUGCAUCAGCAUUGAAGCAAACACAGUCCGGCUGCCACCGACCAGACUGGAGGACUUUGACCUCCCUCCGUUGGUGCUCAGGAGGUUCUGCAGCGAUCCGGCCUCCGUCCUCGACCCCAC